ACGAAACUUGCCCCGAGAUGAGUUCUCCCUGAGACUUUAAGUCUCCUGAAGGAACGUUGAAGACGACGACGUUGAUAGGCCGGGUGUGUAAGCGCAGCGAUGCGUUGAGCUAACCGGUACUAAUGAACCGUGAGGCUUAACCUU
rnacentral:rRNA from 2 species